CGCAUAUGGCCCUCUCAUUCUACUGACAGCAGCUACAUUGCUCCACCACAAAUCCCAGCAGCUGCUGCAUCCCAGUAUAUCAGGGGCCCACACGAGACCAUAAAAAGAAAAUGUAGGGAGGAACAGGUGGGAACUGGGAGGAGGCUCAGGAGGAGGACGUAUACCCGGUAAGGGGCCGGGAGAAAGGGUCAAGGGAGGUGACGACGGAGAGAGGAGCCAAGAAGGAAACACAAGGAGCAAGGGCAGAUCAAACGGGGGAAGGAGCCAGGGAGAUGACAGGAGGAACUUGGAGCAUAUGCCGCCAGUUUGGACCCAAGCCACAGCCAUAAUGGCGACCCACAGUGGAGCCGAUCGAGGGAGGAGCCAUGGAGGAGGAAGGGCUGAUGACUCCAGGAGGCCGACCAACAGCGGCGGAGCAGGUGGCGGAGGAGCCCAAGACGGAGAGCCAAUGAGUCAGGGUGACGGGGAGGAUCCGGAGGGCAGAGGUGGAGCAGAUGGAUCUGGCGACCGUGGCGGAGGCGGGGAUCUAGAAGACCACGGUGGAGCCGGAGCGACAGAGGAUUGUGGAGGAGCCGAAGGAUGGAGGAACCUGACAGAGCCGGAAGGACGAGGCGCAGCCGGAGCAGUGGAGUCCUGAUAACGAGGGAAUUGGGAGGAACACAGCCACCAGAUCCAGUCUGUAUGCAGAUCAGAGGGUCACUGCAGUCACCCGGAUCCAGUAUGUAUCCAGCCCAGAUGGUGGAUCAGCACCUAGAGAGGCACUCUACAGCCCUGAAAGACAGCGGAGACCAGGACAACUAGAGCCCCAGAGACAGAUCUCCUGUAAAGACCUUGUCUCAGACGAUCACCGGGACAAGAUCAUAGGAAACAGAUGAUUGUUCUGCACAAUCUGACUUUGCUGCAGCCUGGAAUUGAACUGCUGGUUUCGUCUGGUCAGAGGAGAACUGGCCCCCCGACUGAGCCUGGUUUCUCCCAAGGUUUUUUCUCCCAAGAGUUUUGGUUCCUUGCCGCUGUCACCUCUGGCUUGCUUAGUUGGGGACACUUAAUU
ensembl:lncRNA